rnacentral:rRNA from 1 species
UACGUAGGGCGCAAGCGUUGUCCGGAAUUAUUGGGCGUAAAGAGCUCGUAGGUGGUUUGUUGCGUCUGCCGUGAAAACCCGAGGCUUAACCUCGUGGCUUGCGGUGGAUACGGGCAGACUUGAGGUAGGUAGGGGAGAAUGGAAUUCCUGGUGUAGCGGUGAAAUGCGCAGAUAUCAGGAGGAACACCGAUGGCGAAGGCAGGUCUCUGGGCCACUACUGACGCUGAGAAGCGAAAGCAUGGGGAGCGAACAGG